AGAAGACUUGACCAUGAUAACAUUGUGAAAGUGUUUGAAAUUCUCGGUCCCAGUGGAAAACAGUUAACAGACGAUGUGGUCUCUCUUACUGAACUGAGCAGUGUUAACAUUGUUCAGGAAUACAUGGAGGCAGACUUGGCUAAUGUGCUGGAGCAGGGUCCUUUACUGGAAGAGCAUGCCAGGCUUUUCAAGUGCCACCUGCUAAGUGGGCUCAAGUAUAUUCCUCUGUAAAUGCACUGCACAGAGAUCUCAAGCCAGCUAAUCUUUUCAUUAAUACUGAAGACAUGGUACUGAAGAUAGGUAACUUUGGUCUUGCACUGAUCAUGUAUCCUUGUUAUUCCAAUAAGGGUCAUCUUUCUGAAGGGUUGGUUACUACAUGGUACAGAUCUUCAAGUCUUUUACUUUCUCCUAAUAAUUACACUAAAGCCAUUGACACAUGUGCUGUAGGCUGCAUCUUUGUUGAAAUUCCGACUGGUAAAAUCCUUUUUGCAUGUGCACGUGAACUUGAACAGAUGCAGCUAAUUUUAAAAUCUAUUCCUGUUGUACAUGAGAAAGAUCAUCAGGAGCUUCUCAGCAUAAUUCCAGUUACAUAAGAAAUGACACAACUGAGCCACACAAAUAUUUAACUCAGCUGCUUCCAGGAAUUAGUCGAGAAGCUCUGGAUUUCCUGGAAUAAAUUUUGACAUUUAGCACCAAGGAUUGGUUGACAGCAGAAGCAGCUCUCUCCUGCCCUUACAUGAGCAUAUAUUCCUUUCCAAUGGAUGAGCCAAUU